rnacentral:tRNA from 1 species
GGGGUUGUGACUCAACGGUAGAGCACUCAUCUAGCACAUCUGAGGCCCUGGGUUCAAUCCUCAGCACCACA